AUUUUUUUGGGAGGGAAAAAAAAAUCCAGAAUUUUCUGCGAAAUCCCAAUUCUACGGGGGAAUCCCAAAUUUCCUUGGAAUUCCCAUUUUUGGGGGAGGAGAAUCCCAAAUUUUGUGGAAAUUCCCGAUUUUUUUGGGGGAGUAAAUCCGAGAUUUUCCGGGAAUUCUCCAUUUUUGGCGGAGGGAUCCCAAAUUUUGGGAUGAUCCCAAAUUCCCGGCGCUCUUUCCCAGGGUUUUGGGGGAGAAAAAAUAAAAGUUUGGAUUUUCCCAAAAUUGGAGAGUUUGGGACUCGUUUGUGGGGGGGACUGGGAGGGAACUGGGGCAAACUGGGACGGACUGGUCCAUACUGGGAUGCUCAGACCCAGACUCCGAACUGGUCUGAACUGGUUUGUGCUGAUCUCCACUGGGCCAUACUGGUCUGUACUGGUCCUUACUGGUCUAUACUGGUUUAUACUGGUCCAUACUGGUUUAUAGCAAUCCAUACUGGUCCAUACUGGUUUAUCCUGGUCCAUACUGGUUUAUCCUGGUCUAUACUGGUUUAUACUGGUCCAUACUGGUUUGUAGCAAUCCAUACUGGUCCAUACUGGUCUUCACUGGUCCGUACCAGUCCAUACUGGUUUAUAUUGGUCCAUACUGGUUUAUACUGGUCCACACUGGUCCAUACCGGGCAAUACUGGUUUAUACGGGUCCAUACUGGUUUAUACUGGUCCAUACUGGUUUUCACUGGUCCAUACCGGUCCAUACCGGUCCAUACUGAUUUAUACUGGUUUAUCCUGGUCCACACUGAUCCAUACCGGUCCAUACUGGUUUAUCCUGGUUCAUACUGGUUUUCACCGGUCCAUCCCGGUCCAUACCAGUCCAUACUGGUCUAUACUGGUCCAUACCGGUCCAUACUGGUCCAUACUAGUUUAUAUUGGUCCAUACUGGUUUUCACUGGUCCAUACCAGUCCAUACUGGUUUAUCCUGGUCCAUACUGGUUUAUACUGGUUUAUCCUGGUCCAUACUGGUCCAUACUGGUUUUCACUGGUCCAUACCGGUUCAGACUGGUUUAUACUAGUCCAUACUGGUUUUCACCGGUUUUCACUGGUCCAUACCGGUCCAUACCAGUCCAUACUGGUCCAUACCGGUCUAUACUGGUCCAUACCGGUCCAUACUGGUCCAUACCGGUCCAUACCGGUCCAUACUG
rnacentral:lncRNA from 1 species